GAAAUGAAUCACAUUUAGGGUUUUGGGUGUAGUUCAGAGGCAAAAGAUAUGUAAGAGGGGAGGAAACAUUAGUUUAUAGUCUACUGGGGAAGACAAAAAUACACAUAUCUGUAAUGAAAUCAAGGAGUCGGACCCUGAAAUGAGCAUAAAGCAAAGUUGCAUGACGUCAGAAGCAGGAGAGCAUUUAUAUUGGAUCUGCUGACAAAAACCUGAAGAUGGUAAACAUUUUCCGGCUCCCCUUCCUUUCUGUCAGAAGAACAAACAAGAACAUGGUGUCUCCUUAAUCUACCUUCAAACCUUGUGACUAAUCCAAAGGCUUGUCAGAAUAUGGUCAAAUACAUAAGCCAGGCCACACCUCUGAUGGUUACCUACUCCCUCCCCAUGCAGGCCAUGGCCCAGAGUAGGUGGUAAUGGCGAUUCCUCCUGGAUGUUCAGGGCCACAGUUGCAGCUGUUCACCUGCUCAGGCAAGGAAGACCUCUGGAGGUACAGGGCACUCUGAUGUGAGCAGGAGUUCCCGUCGACAUCAUCAAAGUGUGCUGAGCCUCUCCACUGACCGUUUCACAAAACUUAUCUAGACCAUGUUGAGCUGGGUCCCACAACCUUCAAUCUAUAGUCGUUGCUCUGAAAAAAACUCUUCUUAGACUAAUUUAAAAUAAUGUCUAAUAACUUUUAAAAUUUUUUGUCAAUAUCAUCAUGUAUAGUAUUUGUUUUAUCACGAACAAUUUCACUGUUAAAUAAAGGACCAAGUUUUACUACAUUUGUUUUCCCUAAGUCAGCCUGUAGCUCUUCACUCAUCUGGUUGUUCUGAGAACAACAUGAGUCGUUGUUACCAAAACCCAUCUAGCCGGUCCUCUCAACUCUGCCAGCAAUGGCUUUAGUGUGGGAGCCAGUUCCGCCACUGCAGCUCAGGAAAAAGAGUCUUCGAGAAUACUUGCUUCCAGUAUUGAGAACCAUUCAGCAAUCUCUGAACUUUAACCAUGCGUCCACUGGAAGAAUGAGUAAGGAAGACGAAAUUAAAUUUCUGCAGCUUCU